GUCUCCAUCGACUAGUGGUUAAGUCAUCGGUCUCAUACCCAUCUAUGACUCAGUUGAAAACAACUGAGUGAUCCGGAAAGCGGAGUUCGAUUCUCCGUGGGGACA